rnacentral:rRNA from 1 species
AUUGAACGCUGGCGGCAUGCCUUACACAUGCAAGUCGAACGGCAGCACGGGGGCAACCCUGGUGGCGAGUGGCGAACGGGUGAGUAAUACAUCGGAACGUGCCCAGUAGUGGGGAGUAGCCCGGCGAAAGCCGGAUUAAUACCGCAUACGACCUACGGGUGAAAGCGGGGAGUCGCAAGACCUCGUGCUACCGGAGCGGCCGAUGUCAGAUUAGGUUGUUGGUGGGGUAAAAGCCUACCAAGCCGACGAUCUGUAGCUGGUCUGAGAGGACGACCAGCCACACUGGGACUGAGACACGGCCCAGACUCCUACGGGAGGCAGC